CUCUAUCCCAUCUCUUACUGCCUGACGUACCUGCACUGAGGGCCUUAGACUGGUUCUGAAUACUGGCACUAGCUUCCAUUUUCCUGGCUGCGUCAACUAUGGUGUGGAAACUCUCCUUUUCUGCUGGAAGAAUCAAGGAAGCAUACCUGGGAUGCAAUCUCAUAGUAUAUCUCCUUGCCUUCUUCUGAUCAGUAUCAUAGGCUUGACCCACAUACUGAAGCAAAUCCAGAAACUUAUCUGUGAAUUCAUCAACACUCAUUUCGUCUGUCUGUCUCAAUUGUUCGAACUCUAUUACUUUCAUCUCCCGAGAACUGUCAGGAAAAGCCCACCCUGCAAACUCAUUGGCGAACUCUCCCCAUGACAUACUGUCCAUUCUCGGCUCCACAUAAUUCUUGAACCAUUCUCUGGCUUUCUUGCAUUUUAAUGUGAAACCUGCCAUCUCAAUGGCUCUCCUAUCAUCUGCUCCCAAUUCACUAGUUAUCAUCCUAACUGCUCUGAGGUAAUCAAAUGGAUCAUCUCCCGUGUUGUAUUUAGGAGCAUCCAGUUUCAAGUACUCCGUCAUUUGCACUUUACCUCUAGAUGAGCUAGGUUGAUGUCUGUCAACAACAGGGGCUACUGGUUCUGGUGGUGGUACUGGUUCAUUUGGCUCUGGGUGUGCUGCACUUGGAUGGGUAGGGGACGAUGGAUACAUAGGAUAUGGUGGAUAGUAAGAGGGAUAAGGCAUAUAUGGCAUGUAAGAAGGAUAUGGCACAAAACUAGAGUACUCCGAUAUACCUCCCAUCGGAUACUCUAGGUAGCCAAAACCUGAGGUCUGAGCACCUCCCUGCGUCUCUCCCAUACCUUCCUCAAAACUGCCUAUACCCAUGCUAUCAUCUCUCGACUGAUCAAUCUCCAUCGCUUCCCUCCUUUCCUCUGAUCUUCCUCCCCUCACUGUACCUCUUCUGCUCUCGUCGACAGACCUUCUGGGGUCUAUUGACGUACCUUCCCUGCUAGAUCUCUGCGACCUUGCCCUUGGCAAAGCAGGAGGACGAGCAGCUGGUCUCUCACUAUCUGGGGGGACUCCAGUCAAUCGAGCUGAUCGACGAGUUCCUCUCAUCUUUACUCUCUGGAACACAACAUAUAACAUAGCACUUUAGCACAUAAACAGCACAGAGCAAUAAGGCACAUGCAUAACUCAUGGCAUAACACAGAUAGGACUCAAAACCCUAUCUUAGUGGACAUAAUUUCCUAUUGUGCUUGACCACUUCGAAGUUCUAUGAGCCCGACACUGUCUCUAUAGGUCCGAUCAUGUGAACCUAGGGCUCUGAUACCAAUCUGUAACGACCCCAAAAUGGACCGUCACCGGCGCUAGGAUUCAGGUCGGCUUAAGGCCGCCAGAACCCGUAGCAAGCCUGCUAUACUCUCUGUGUACCUGUAAAUCCAAUACAUGAUCAUACAUUUUCUGUAAAAAAAAUAAAAAACUCUUUUCUCUGUACCAAGGCUUAACCUAUGCAUGCACUAUCUCUAUACUCUGUACUCUGUACUUUGUACUCUGUACCCCUGGCUAGAGCUUGCUCUAGAUGGGUUAACUCAUACCUGUUAAGCCUGGUUUUCACAUACAGGAAAACAUAUACAUAUACAGAUCAUGUACAUAACAACAGAUUUACAUCACAACCUACUAAGUCAAGCACAUCUGUAACUGAAAACAUAACUAGUACAUCUCUUUAACAUUACAUGUCCACUCUACACUAUUACACAUCCCUUUACUCUUUCUGUAUCCUGCUGGACUAUCCCUGGACACUGUAUACUGAACCUGCAAAACUGGGGUUAAGGGAGUGGGAUGAGCUCUAUAGCCCAGUGAGUAGAACAGUAAAACUUCUCAGUAAAACAUGAUCUCAUGGAAUGCGUCAGAACACAGACAAGCCACAGCAAGAGUAAACCUGUCACCACAUAGUCCCAGUAGCUCUGUGCCAGGGCGUAGAAUCGAGCACCUGGUCUUCCUGUCAUAUAUGUAUAUGUGUAUAUAACACCUUCGGCGACACUGUAUACUGAACCAUGCAACAUUCGGGGGCCGAACCUGACCUGCGGAAGCCGAACAUUGGGCACUUUCGGCGGCCGAACUUACCUUCGGCGGCCGAACCAAGCAAAAGUCUCCAUAGACUUUUCUCUUCCAACCUCAAACCAACUCAAAGCAAUUCAACUAAAAACCUUAAAACACAUCAUAACACUGUAGGAAAACAUAAAUCCUACCCUUCUAGCGACUUCUGACAUCCCGGACUCCACCGGAAAGUAGAAUUCCGAUGCCGGACUCCAGCCGGGUAUUUCAUACAUAUACAUAUACACUGUACACUGUACACUAUAAGCACCUUCGGCGGCCGAAUCUCAAGCUUCGGCGGCCGAAUCUCAAGCUUCGGCGGCCGAACCCUUUCGGGGGCAAGUUUCGGGGGCCAAAAGGCACUCCAGAGACGAAAGUCUCUAACCUUCGGCGGCACCUUCGGCGGCCGAAUCCCCCAAACAAAGCCGAACAUACAAAACUCGCGGGGGCAAGCUGUGGCAGCCUAAGCCACCAUGCAAGAGGUUCGGCGGCCGAAUGAACCUUCGGCUGCCGAACCUGAGUUCAUCCAGAACUCAGCCCCGACGGCAAACAAGCUCCUUCAUCCCUUCAAUCCCUCAAAUCAUGCACACUUCAACUCCUCAACACACAUAUACUCAUGUACAUGUACAAAGGGGUCCAAAACUACCUACAAACCCCAACAAAACACACCAAACAUAACACAUAAUCAUGCUUACAAACUAAACCAUCAAAAAACACACCCUUUGUCACCUAAGCAUGCAUCUCUACCCAUCAUAACACUUCUGUAAAACAGUAAAACAUGUUUAAGAUCUUCACUUACCUCCUGUAUUCAAGAAGAUGAACGAUCUGAACAAAGAAAAUGGAUCAACUCUCUUGAAACUCAUAAACUCUCAAACCUAAGCUUUUUGCUUCAACCCUUCACCACCUUGUGAAAACCAACAAAACAACCCACUUUGCAGGAGCUGUACAACAUAGGAGACGUGGCCAAGCUUCUGGACAGGGUUUGGAGCCAACACCUGUCCAAAAUGCUGACUAAGGAAGGCUCAAUAGGUGGCUAGCCAACUCAGCUUCGGCUGCCGAUUCGCAUGCAAAACCAUGCAAUAUUCGGGGGCCGAACCUGACCUGCGGAAGCCGAACAUUGGGUACUUUCGACGGCUGAACUUACCUUCGGCGGCCGAACCAGGCAAAAGUCUCCAUAGACUUUUCUCUUCCAACCUCAAACCAACUCAAAGCAAUUCAACUAAAAACCUUAAAACACAUCAUAACACUGUAGGAAAACAUAAAUCCUACCCUUCUAGCGACUUCUGACAUCCCGGACUCCACCGGAAAGUAGAAUUCCGAUGCCGGACUCCAGCCGGGUAUUACAUUCUCCCCCCUUAAGAACAUUCGUCCUCGAAUGAUUCUAAAACAAAUAACACAUGAAACGGAGGAAACUAACCUCAAAACAAAUAUGGAUACUGCUGGAGCAUAGACUCCCGCGUCUCCCAGGUGCACUCUUCUAGAUUAUGGUGGUUCCAUAGAACUUUCACCAUCGGAAUCUCCUUGUUUCGUAGCUGUCUGAUCUGUGUGUCCAGAAUCCGCACUGGCUGCUCUAUAUAGGUGAGAUCUGUAUCAAUCUCCACCUCAGGCUCACUCAGAACCUGAUUCGGAUCUGACACAAACUGCCGUAGCAUAGAAACAUGAAAUACCGGGUGAAUUCUCUCCAUAGAAGGAGGUAAAUCCAGCUUAUACGACACAUUUCCGAUCCUCUGUAAAAUCUCAAAGGGUCCAAUGUACCGUGGAGCUAACUUACCCUUCUUCCCAAAGCGAACCAUUCCUUUCAUUGGAGACACUUUCAGCAAUACCAUACUACCCUCCUGAAACUCUAAUUGUUUUCUGCGAAUGUCUGCAUAACUUUUCUGUCUGCUCUGCGCUGUUCUGAUUCUCUCUCUGAUCAAGGGCACCACUCUACUGGUAAACUCUACUAACUCUGGCCCUGCAAGAGCCUUCUCUCCUAUCUCUUCCCAACAAACAGGGGAUCUGCACUUCCUCCCAUACAAAGCUUCAUAAGGAGCCAUUCCUAUGCUCGCAUGAUGGCUGUUAUUGUAGGCAAACUCCACCAAAGGUAGAUGCUGCCUCCAAGAACCGCCAAAGUCUAACACACACAGUCGAAGCAUAUCCUCUAUGGUCUGGAUGGUCCUCUCUGACUGUCCAUCAGUCUGUGGGUGGAAAGCAGUGCUAAACUCUAAUCUCGUGCCCAAAGCACUCUGCAGACUUCGCCAAUAGCGGGAGGUAAACUGAGGUCCUCUGUCUGAAACUAUAGACACUGGAACACCAUGUAAUCUCACUAUCUCAUCCAGAUAGACCUGUGCCAACUUAUCCACAGAAUAGUUACUCCGAACUGGAAGAAAAUGAGCAGAUUUCGUGAGUCUGUCCACAAUCACCCAUAUAGAGUCUAUCCUGUUGGACGCUGCUGGUAAACCCACUACAAAAUCCAUGGCUAUGUUCUCCCAUUUCCACUCUGGAAUGGGCAAUGGGUUAAGCAUUCCAGCUGGUUUCUGAUGCUCUAGUUUCACCCUCUGGCAAACUUCACAGGCUGUCACAAACUGCGCCACUUCUUUCUUCAUGGCUGGCCACCAAUAAACCUUUUUCAGAUCCUGGUACAUCUUGGUGGCUCCUGGGUGAACACUAUAUCUUGCAUUAUGAGCUUCCCUCAUAAUGCCUUCCUUCACACUGCUCCUAUCUGGUACACAAAGUCGACUCCCGUAGCGAAGGAUCCCUUUGCUGUCAAAUCUGAACUCUGCACUGUUGCCUGACUGAACAGUCCUGGCAAUUUUCAUCAACUCAGGGUCCUCAUGCUGUCUCUGAGCUAUCUGCUCCAGAAACACAGGUGUCACUCUCAUCUGUGCUAUCAAUGCACCUGUACCAGACAACUCUAACUGUAACCCUUCUUCUAAGAGCUUGUAAAGCUCCAUCACAACUGGUCUCCGCUCUGCUGCUAUAUGGGAUAAACUGCCUAGUGACUUCCGGCUCAGGGCGUCUACUACAACAUUCGCCUUACCCAGAUGAUACUGGAUCUUACAAUCAUAAUCACUGAGCAAUUCUACCCAUCUCCUCUGCCUCAAAUUCAGCUCUCUCUGACUCAAGAUGUAUUGUAAACUCUUGUGAUCAGUGAAGAUCUCGUAUUGAACCCCGUAGAGGUAAUGCCGCCACAUCUUAAGUGCAAAGAUAACUGCUGCCAUCUCUAGGUCGUGGGUAGGGUAAUUCAACUCGUGCUUCUUCAACUGUCUAGAAGCAUAAGCUAUCACCCUCUCACUCUGCAUCAAAACACAACCCAAUCCCAUGCGAGAUGCAUCACAGAACACUGUGAAAUCCUCAUUACUCAUAGGCAGAGCUAACACUGGUGCUGUGGUCAAUCUCCGCUUGAGCUCCUCGAAGCUCUCUUCACACUGGUCUGACCAGACAAACUUCUGGUUCUUCUGAGUCAGUUUGGUCAUUGGAGCUGCUAUCUUUGAGAAGUUCUGCACGAACCUCCUGUAGUAACCUGCCAGUCCCAGAAAGCUUUUAAUCUCAGUCACUAUCGUGGGUCUGGGCCAGUUAGCUACAGCCUCUAUCUUCUUGGGGUCUACCUCGAUACCAUCUGCUGAUACCACGUGUCCCAAGAAGGCAAUGCUCCUCAACCAAAACUCACACUUCGAGAACUUGGCAUACAAUCCAUGUUCUCUCAGUGUCUGCAACACUAUCCUCAGAUGCUGGGCAUGCUCCUCUGCAUCUCUGGAAUACACUAAAAUAUCAUCGAUGAAAACAAUGACAAAGUGAUCCAGAAACUCACUGAAAACUCUGUUCAUGAGAUCCAUGAACGCUGCAGGGGCGUUAGUCAACCCGAACGGCAUCACUAAGAACUCAUAAUGCCAAUAUCUGGUCCUGAACGCUGUCUUAGGCACAUCUGCCUCUCUGACUCUCAACUGAUGAUACCCGGAUCUCAGAUCUAUUUUCGAGAAACAACCUGCUCCAGCUAGCUGGUCAAAUAGAUCAUCAAUCCUCGGUAGAGGAUACCUAUUCUUGAUAGUGACCUUGUUCAACUGUCUGUAGUCGAUACAAAGUCUGAGGGAUCCAUCCUUCUUUCUGACAAAGAGCACUGGAGCACCCCAAGGUGAGGUACUAGGGCGGAUGAAACCCUUAUCUACCAAGUCCUGCAACUGCUCUUUUAACUCUUUUAACUCUGCUGGCGCCAUCCUGUAGGGAGGAAUAGAGAUAGGUCUGGUACCUGACAGCAAUUCAAUUUCAAACCCUAUCUCCCUAUCAGGUGGGAGUCCUGGUAAAUCGUCUGGGAAGACAUCGAGAAACUCUCGAACUACUGGUACUGUGGCUGGUUCCCUAACCUGACUGUCUAGCUCUCUCACAUGAGCUAGAAACCCCUGACAACCCCUCCUAAACAAACGACGAGCCUGAAGGGCUGAAAUCAUACCUCUGGGUGUACCUCUCCUGUCUCCUCUGAAGACACACUCUGACCCAUCCUGGUCUCUGAGACUCACUAGCUUCUCUCUACAGUCCAAAGUAGCACUAUAUGUAGAUAACCAAUCCAUCCCUAGAAUGACAUCAAAAUCCGUCAAAUCUAGAACCACAAGGUCAGCUGGAAGGUAUCUACCUUCUAUAAACACUGGACUGAAACGACAGACUGACACUACCACUGAUGGGUCACAUUUAGGUCCACUGACCCAGAAAGGAUACUCUAACUCAGAACUGAUCAAACCCAAUCUCUCUAUGGCUCUCGAAGCAAUAAAGGAAUGAGAAGCACCGGGGUCCAUCAAAGCAUACACAUCUGAACACCCAAUGAUGAGAUUACCUGACACCACUGUGUUCGACAUGUUAACCUCCUCCUGUGUCACUAUGAAAAUCUGUGCUGGGGCUACCGGAUUUCCACCUCGGGAACCUGCUGCUGAAGUAGAGGCUGCCCCUCUCCCUCUACCUCUGCCACUACUCUGAGGCAUGACUGGAGCUACUGGCUGUACAACUGGUUGUACCACACUGCCUGAACUCAUCUGCUGGGAUGGUGCAAAUGUCACCUGAGGACAAUUCCGAGCAAUAUGCCCUUCCUGUCCACAGCGAAAACAAGCUGUAGAUCCCAACUGACAAACUCCUCCAUGUGGUUUUCCGCAUCUUCUGCAGACUGGAGCUGUGCCAGAGCUAGAGCCACUACCGAUUCCCAGACCUGACUUCACUUUAUUCCAGAACUUAUUCUUUGUUCCUUUUGCUCUAUCCCAUCACUUACUGCCUGACGUACCUGCACUGGGGGCCUUCGACCCCGAAGCCUGUGCCUUAGACUGUUUCUGAAUACUGGCACUAGCUUCCAUUUUCCUGGCUGCGUCCACUAUGGUGUGGAAACUCUCCUUUUCUGCUGGAAGAAUCAAGGAAGCAUACCUGGGAUGCAAUCUCAUAGUAUAUCUCCUUGCCUUCUUCUGAUCAGUAUCAUAGGCUUGACCCA
rnacentral:lncRNA from 1 species